rnacentral:rRNA from 1 species
UACAGAGGUCUCAACCGUUGUUCGGAUUCAUUGGGCGUAAAGGGUGCGUAGGCGGCGCGGUAAGUCGGGUGUGAAAUCUCGGGGCUUAACUCCGAAACUGCAUUCGAUACUGCCGUGCUUGAGGACUGGAGAGGAGACUGGAAUUUACGGUGUAGCGGUGAAAUGCGUAGAUAUCGUAAGGAAGACCAGUGGCGAAGGCGGGUCUCUGGACAGUUCCUGACGCUGAGGCACGAAGGUCAGGGGAGCAAACGGG